CCUUUCUCUCUGAUCUCUACUCUCUCUCAGACUCCGUCUCUCUCCACAUCAGCUUCGUCGGCGAUUUCUCUUCUUCCGCUGCCACCACUUUCUCAUCCAUCAUCUCAGCCGCUGUCACUUGAGGUGGCCAUUCACAUGGUUGCCAAACUGAGUCUCAUGACCAGCAAAUCGCCAAAGCCUUGAUCUUUCCUCACUUAAUUGCAAUUGGUGUUGGAUCAACAAUUGGAGCAGGGGUUUAUAUUCUUGUGGCAACAAUGGCGAGAGAGCAUUCAGGACCUGCUCUAGCCUUUUCAUUCUUUAUAGCUGGUGUUUCUGUAGUAGUCUCUAGUCUUUUUCCUUCAGUUGGAAGUGCCUAUCACUACUCUUACAUUUGCGUUGGUGAAGGAGUUGCAUGGUUAAUUGGCUGACACUGAUUCUGAAAUACACUCUUGGUGGUUCAACUGCUGCUUGUGGCAUAUCUCUAGAUCUGGUUUUGAGAUGGGUUGGUGGAGGGAGAAGAAGAAGAAGCCAUUAUCUGAUUUUGGCUACGAAUGGUAUUCAGGUCAAACAGAGAACCAUCACAAAAUAUUCAUCAGUAAAAUUGUAAGAAGGUCCAAAUAUUAUGAAGUUUACUUUUGCCGCGACAUAGCAGUUUUGAUGUAGUAGUUUUUGUAUCAAUUAUUUUAUCAAUCCACAGUUUACAUUAAUCAA